rnacentral:rRNA from 1 species
CCUACGGGAGGCAGCAGUGGGGGAUAUUGUACAAUGGGGGGAACCCUGAUGCAGCGACGCCGCGUGGGUGAAGGAGUAUUUCGGUAUGUAAAGCCCUAUCGGCAGGGAAGAAGCAAGACGGUACCUGACUAAGAAGCCCCGGCUAACUACGUGCCAGCAGCCGCGGUAAUACGUAGGGGGCGAGCGUUAUCCGGAUUCACUGGGUGUAAAGGGAGCGUAGACGGCCAUGCAAGCCAGGGGUGAAAGCCCGGGGCGCAACCCCGGGACUGCCCUUGGAACUGCAUGGCUGGAGUGCGGGAGGGGCAGGCGGAAUUCCUGGUGUAGGGGUGAAAUGCGUAGAUAUCAGGAGGAACACCGGUGGCGAAGGCGGCCUGCUGGACCGCGACUGACGUUGAGGCUCGAAAGCGUGGGGAGCGAACAGGAUUAGAUACCCCAGUAGUC